GACGAACGCUGGCGGCGUGCCUAAUACAUGCAAGUCGAACGCUUCUUUCCUCCCGAGUGCUUGCACUCAAUUGGAAAGAGGAGUGGCGGACGGGUGAGUAACACGUGGGUAACCUACCCAUCAGAGGGGGAUAACACUUGGAAACAGGUGCUAAUACCGCAUAACAGUUUAUGCCGCAUGGCAUAAGAGUGAAAGGCGCUUUCGGGUGUCGCUGAUGGAUGGACCCGCGGUGCAUUAGCUAGUUGGUGAGGUAACGGCUCACCAAGGCCACGAUGCAUAGCCGACCUGAGAGGGUGAUCGGCCACACUGGGACUGAGACACGGCCCAGACUCCUACGGGAGGCAGCAGUAGGGAAUCUUCGGCAAUGGACGAAAGUCUGACCGAGCAACGCCGCGUGAGUGAAGAAGGUUUUCGGAUCGUAAAACUCUGUUGUUAGAGAAGAACUAGGACGUUAGUAACUGAACGUCCCCUGACGGUAUCUAACCAGAAAGCCACGGCUAACUACGUG
rnacentral:rRNA from 1 species